GAUGAACGCUGGCGGCGUGCCUAAUACAUGCAAGUCGAGCGAACGGACGAGAAGCUUGCUUCUCUGAUGUUAGCGGCGGACGGGUGAGUAACACGUGGAUAACCUACCUAUAAGACUGGGAUAACUUCGGGAAACCGGAGCUAAUACCGGAUAAUAUUUUGAACCGCAUGGUUCAAAAGUAAAAGACGGUCUUGCUGUCACUUAUAGAUGGAUCCGCGCUGCAUUAGCUAGUUGGUAAGGUAACGGCUUACCAAGGCAACGAUGCAUAGCCGACCUGAGAGGGUGAUCGGCCACACUGGAACUGAGACACGGUCCAGGCUCCUACGGGAGGCAGCAGUAGGGAAUCGUCCGCAAUGGGCGAAAGCCUGACGGAGCAACGCCGCGUGAGUGAUGAAGGUCUUCGGAUCGUAAAACUCUGUUAUUAGGGAAGAACAUAUGUGUAAGUAACUGUGCACAUCUUGACGGUACCUAAUCAGAAAGCCACGGCUAACUACGUG
rnacentral:rRNA from 1 species